AUUGAACGCUGGCGGCAGGCCUAACACAUGCAAGUCGAGCGGGUGAAGGGAGCUUGCUCCUGGAUUCAGCGGCGGACGGGUGAGUAAUGCCUAGGAAUCUGCCUGGUAGUGGGGGAUAACGUCCGGAAACGGGCGCUAAUACCGCAUACGUCCUGAGGGAGAAAGUGGGGGAUCUUCGGACCUCACGCUAUCAGAUGAGCCUAGGUCGGAUUAGCUAGUUGGUGGGGUAAAGGCCUACCAAGGCGACGAUCCGUAACUGGUCUGAGAGGAUGAUCAGUUACACUGGAACUGAGACACGGUCCAGACUCCUACGGGAGGCAGCAGUGGGGAAUAUUGGACAAUGGGCGAAAGCCUGAUCCAGCCAUGCCGCGUGUGUGAAGAAGGUCUUCGGAUUGUAAAGCACUUUAAGUUGGGAGGAAGGGCAGUAAGUUAAUACCUUGCUGUUUUGACGUUACCAACAGAAUAAGCACCGGCUAACUUCGUG
rnacentral:rRNA from 1 species